rnacentral:tRNA from 1 species
AGGGGUUAGAGUUUGGCUUCUAACCAAAAGGUUGGCGGUUCGAAUCCACCAGCCUCUU